rnacentral:rRNA from 1 species
GACAGAGGGUGCAAACGUUGCUCGGAAUUACUGGGCGUAAAGCGCGUGUAGGCGGCCCACCAAGUCGGACGUGAAAGCCCUGAGCUCAACUCAGGAACUGCAUCCGAAACUGGCGGUCUGGAGUAGUGGAGAGGAAAGCAGAAUUCCUGGUGUAGAGGUGAAAUUCGUAGAUAUCAGGAGGAACACCGGUGGCGAAGGCGGCUUUCUGGACACUUACUGACGCUGAGACGCGAAAGCGUGGGGAGCAAACAGG